CGACUCCAUGAAGUCGGAAUCGCUAGUAAUCGUGGAUCAGAAUGCCACGGUGAAUACGUUCCGGGGCCUUGUACACACCGCCCGUCACACCAUGGGAGUGGGUUGCAAAAGAAGUAGGUAGCGUAACCUUCGGGAGGGCGCUUACCACUUUGUGAUUCAUGACUGGGGUGAAGUCGUAACAAGGUAACCGUAGGGGAACUUGCGGUUGGAUCACCUCCUUACCUUAAAGAAGC
rnacentral:rRNA from 1 species